rnacentral:tRNA from 4 species
AGCCCUGAGGUGUCCUACAUAUUAGAUUGCAAAUCUAAAGAAGCAGACUAAUAAUCUGCCGGGGCUU